GCUCUGUGGACUCCAGUGGGGGACCCUGCAAAGUCUGGGGCAAAGGCUGUGGAUGCUGAAUUCUGUUACAGGGAGGGAGUGAAAAAUUGAGAGUAGUAAUCCAGUCUCCCACGGGGCCCAUCACGGCUGUUUGGAGGCACACAUGAGUUACCAUGGCGACAUCUUGAAUGAGAAGGGAGAAACUCAAUGGCCCUCAACAAAUUGGAUGAUGCCCACCCACACUUGGGAGAGCCAAUUGCAUUCCCAACUCACCAGUUGGGAAUCUCUUCCAGAAACACCCUCACAGACCCAGACAUAAAUAAUGUCACCCAGUUAUCUGGGCAUCCUUUAGCGCAGAGUCAAGUUGACACGUAAAAUUAACCAUCACACCGUGCAACCAUCACCACCAUCUCCAGAACUUUUUUCCUCUUUCCAAAUUGAAAUUCCAUGACCAUUAAAUGAUAACUUCUCCUUCCUCCUCUCCCCAGCCUGCCCUUGGCAGUGAACACUCUACUUACUGUCUCCAUGAAUUUGACUAUCCUAGGUACC
rnacentral:lncRNA from 10 species